GCGGAUGGGCUUGGGGCGCACCCAGCGAGCAGCGAGAGUCGCGGUGUCCCGGGCGCUCGCUGGCACCGUGGCCGCAGCGGCCGGCCUGGGAGCCAGGAGGGCGAGGCGGCUGCACCUUCGGGGCCAGAUUGGAGUUCGAAGAGUGGCGGGUACCCCAGAAGCUCGGGGCCGGGGCGAUGGCUGCAGCCUCGGGAGGGUAUCGCCGGAUCGAACUCCGGGAAAGGGAAGCAAAGGCAUGGAACCUCCGCACACUGGAUGAGAAUCCAUCUUCCAUUCGAGCUGGGAAUAGACUUUGUGAAAGAUAUUAUGUAAUGGAGUCUCGGGAACCCUGAGACCUCUCCAGCGAAGCUGAAGUGAAUUAAUUAAGUGCUUUAAACGGUCUUGGUAAAUAUUCCGCGGGAGCUGGGGAGGACCGUUGGGAUGGCUGUAGCUUGAGUUGAAUUUUAACUGUCCUCAUUCUGGGUUUUGUCGCUCUGCUUUCUGUGCCAAGGUGCUGUGUUACGGGAGAGAGUGACUGGAAAGUAACAAAGCUGAAUCUUUCUCCCUGGAGUAAGGCCGAAGACUGGAUUACUACACGCCUAGACGUGACACUACACCCAUAGAUCUCAUGCAUCAUUAAUGCCAUAUGACAUUGCCAUUUUCUUUCUCAGUUCACGGACAAAAGUGGUGGGUUUUCAUUGUCUUCACUGAUUGUCAAUGCAUUAAUAAAGAAGAUGUGUGGUACAUAG
rnacentral:lncRNA from 1 species